GCUGGGGAUGGGCUAAGGCUAAUACCUACCUCUGCAAAUUAAAAAUUUUGCCUGUCAGUCUCAGAAUACAUCCCUCAAGCUCCUCAAGUCGUGUGGACUACGCUGUAAGCAUCUAAAAGAUAGUAGAGACAUAAGGGAUCAUAGUCAGAUCUGGAUCAGCCUGAGAUGUCAUCUUCUGAGUAAAAUCUAAGGUGGCAAACUGCUGGGAUAAGAUAGAAGCAACGUACUGAAAAAUCAACUGAAUAUGAUCAUCUGCAAGUCUG
rnacentral:lncRNA from 1 species